rnacentral:misc_RNA from 1 species
AACGCACGAGACCUGCGGACCUGCGGAAGGAUCAUUACAGAGUUGCAAAACUCCCUAAACCAUUGUGAACGUUACCUAAACCGUUGCUUCGGCGGGCGGCGCGCCCUCGCGCGCGCCCCUGGGCCCCACCGCGGGCGCCCGCCGGAGGUCACCAAACUCUUGAUAUUAAUUGGCCUCUCUGAGUCUUCUGUACUGAAUAAGUCAAAACUUUUAACAACGGAUCUCUAGAUCGGAAGAGCA